rnacentral:rRNA from 1 species
UGGGGAAUCUUGCGCAAGUGGGCGAAAGCCUGACGCAGCGACGCCGCGUGAGCGAUGAAGGCCUUCGGGUUGUAAAGCUCUGUGGGGAGAGAAGAAUAAGGGUUGGCUAACAUCCAACCUGAUGACGGUAUCUCCUUAGCAAGCACCGGCUAACUCUGUGCCAGCAGCCGCGGUAAGACAGAGGGUGCAAACGUUGUUCGGAAUCACUGGGCGUAAAGCGCAUGUAGGCGGUUUGGAAAGUCGGAUGUGAAACCCCACGGCUCAACCGAUGGAAGUGCAUUCGAAACUGCCAGACUAGAGUCCUGGAGAGGAAGCGGAAUACUGGGUGUAGAGGUGAAAUUCGUAGAUAUCCAGUGGAACACCGGUGGCGAAGGCGGCCUUCUGGACAGUGACUGACGCUGAAAUGCGAAAGCUGGGGAGCGAAACAGGAUUAGAAACCCCUGUAG